rnacentral:tRNA from 1 species
GACACUCUAAUUUAAUUAGAAUAUUUGAUUUGCAUUCAAACAGUGAGAUUUUCUCGAGCGCCA